rnacentral:rRNA from 1 species
GACGAACCGAGCGAACGUUGUUCGGAAUCACUGGGCUUAAAGGGCGCGUAGGCGGGUGUUCAAGUCCGUGGUGAAAUCCUCCGGCUCAACCGGAGAACUGCCUCGGAUACUGAAUGUCUCGAGGGUGGUAGGGGUAUGCGGAACUAUCGGUGGAGCGGUGAAAUGCGUUGAUAUCGAUAGGAACUCCGGUGGCGAAGGCGGCAUACUGGACCACUUCUGACGCUGAGGCGCGAAAGCCAGGGGAGCAAACGGG